UGAAAGCAGGGUACAGCGUUAACCUCUAAGACAUUAUUAGGAUGUGUUCUAUGUGUGCUCACCUUAAAGACUUCUAGGGCUGCACUGUUCCUAUGGAACGGCCUUACCCUCUCUGUUCGACUCUCACCCAAUCUCCACUCCUUCAAAAAAUCUUUGAAAACGUAUUUCUACAGGAGAGCUUAUCAAUUAAACUGUGAACCGCUUUCCCUCCCCGUACCCUGACUCCUCUCCUGAAACUGUCAUCAAAACAAAACACU